rnacentral:misc_RNA from 1 species
CUUCACUCUAUCACCAAAUUCUUUAAAGCAGAAGUCUACGAAAUCGUAAUAAUCAUUCACAAUGUUAGGGCUUAAGAGUCCCUUGUACUCAUCUUCAAGGGUUUGUGGAACAUCCCAGUGGAAUAGGGUCACAAGGGGCUGUAUAUCAUUGGAAAGGAGCUUGUCUAUGAGAGAAUUGUAGAAGUUGACACCUUCCCAGUUCACUCCCCUGGUAAUUUUCCCCUCAGGAAAUAUUCUUGGCCAAGAGAUUGAGAAUCUAUAGGAGUCCAAACCAAUUCCUUUCAAAAGGGUAAUGUCUUCCUCGUAAUGAUGGUAGAAAUCCUCAGCAACUU